UGGGGAAUAUUGGACAAUGGGCGCAAGCCUGAUCCAGCCAUGCCGCGUGAGUGAUGAAGGCCCUAGGGUUGUAAAGCUCUUUCACCGGUGAAGAUAAUGACGGUAAUCGGAGAAGAAGCCCCGGCUAACUUCGUGCCAGCAGCCGCGGUAAUACGAAGGGGGCUAGCGUUGUUCGGAUCUACUGGGCGUAAAGCGCACGUAGGCGGACUUUAAAGUCAGGGGUGAAAUCCCGGGGCUCAACCCCGGAACUGCCUUUGAUACUGGAAGUCUUGAGUAUGGUAGAGGUGAGUGGAAUUCCGAGUGUAGAGGUGAAAUUCGUAGAUAUUCGGAGGAACACCAGUGGCGAAGGCGGCUCACUGGACCAUUACUGACGCUGAGGUGCGAAAGCGUGGGGAGCAAACAGG
rnacentral:rRNA from 1 species